rnacentral:rRNA from 1 species
AUGAACAAAUGCAAACGUACUCUUGCCAUUGAUAAUACAUGUAACAUUUGUGGUAACUCAGAGGAGAACGAAUACCACGCAGUGGUGGAAUGCACCAAGAGCAGAGCACUUCGACAGGAAAUGAGGGCCAAAUGGGCUCUGCCUAGAGAGGAGCUCUUUCGCUACACCGGAACAGACUGGCUCCAAAGCCUGUUAAAUUCAUGCGAUGGAGAGACACGGAACAGAAUUCUUCUCCUGCUGUGGCGGGCAUGGUACCUGCGCGACAACAUUGUCCACGGAAAUGGCAAA